rnacentral:tRNA from 1 species
GGCUUUAUAGUCAAAUAAUGAUUUUAGACUGCAAUUCUAAAGGUGUAGGAAUACUAAGGCUU